AAACCCAAGUAGUUCAUAAACAAUACUACUCGCCAGAGUACUACGAGCAAUAGCUUAAAACUCAAAGGACUUGGCGGUGCUUCACACCCCUCUAGAGGAGCCUGUUCUAUAAUCGAUAAACCCCGAUAAACCUCACCACUUCUUGCUAAUACAACCUAUAUACCGCCAUCCCCAGCAAACCCUAAUUAAGGCCUUAAAGUAAGCGCAAGUACAUUACAUAAAAACGUUAGGUCAAGGUGUAGUCUAUGAAGUGGAAAGAAUUGGGCUACAUUUUCUACAACAGAAAAGCACACUUAACAACAACCUUUAUGAAAUUAAAGGUUAAAGGAGGAUUUAGUAGUAAACUAAGAAUAGAGAGCUUAAUUGAAAAGGGCCCUGAAGC
rnacentral:rRNA from 1 species